GCUUUCAGUUUCAGUUUCCCAGAAAGGAGGUGUCUGUGUGGUGAUGAGCAGGGCUUCAUCCAGUGCCCCUGUCCCCACCGAGGGGACUAUGGGAGCCAUGGAGGGUGCGUGAGCAGCAGGUGAGACUGGAGCCAGCUGAAAACUGGGAGACCGACCCAGCCAACAAACAAUGUCGGUCUCUGUCCUGGCACCCGCAGGAAACAAGCUCCUACUUCCAGAAAAAGUGCUCCUGGGACUCAAGGAUACCAAGCAUCUGGGUAAGGUACAACGCUUAACCACUUAACACAAUCAGGAAGCAACAGCCACGCAUUUGGGAAAGGAACUUCAGCGUUGUGUGGCUCAGUCUCCAGACCUAACUUUCCCUUUGGUACAGACGCAGUGGUAGAUGCCUGUAAUCCCAACACUUAGGCAGGAGGAUCACUCGAGCCCAGAAGAUCAAGACUAGCGUGAGCAACAAAAUCCUUCCCUGGCACCGGUUCCAGGAGGACCUGGUUCUUAGGCAGCAUCUGUAUCUCUGUUUUGUAAGACACACAGUAUCCUUAACCCACUGCAGAUAUUUCCCUGGUCCAUGGUCAACCAACACCACCUUUCAGUCUCCAGCCUCUUAACCAGCCCAGGGCUGAGUGUUGUUCAUAGUAUUAAUAUGUUGCUGGCUGGGCUCAGUGGCUCAUGCCUGUAAACCCGGCACUAUGGGAGGCUGAGGCAGGCGGAUCACUUGAGGUCAGGAGUUCAAGACAAGCCUGGCCAACAUAGUAAAACCGCGUCUCUACUAAAAAUACAAAAAUGAGCCGGGUGUGGUGGUGCGUGUCUAUAAUCCCAGCUACUCGGGAGGCUGAGGCAGGAGAAUUGCUUGAACCUGGGAGAUGGAGGCUACAGUGAGCUGAGAUCAUGCCACUGCACUCCAGCCUGGUCAAGAAAGUGAGACUCCGUCUCAAAACAAAGAAACAAACAAAGUAUUAAUAUGUUCCCCUUGAUCAGUGGGGUGGUUCACCCUUGUAAUCCCAGCACUUUGGGAGGCAGAAGCUGGCGGAUCGCUUGAGUCCAGGAGUUCGAGACCAGCCUGGGUGACCUAGCAAAACCCUGUCUGUACUAAAAAUACAAAAAUUAACUGGGCGUGGUGGUGCGAGCCUGUAAUCCCAGUGGAGGCUGAGACAGGAAAAUCCUUUUGUAAUGCCUAACCUUGUUUUCUUACUAACCCUAUUUUAACCUUGUUUUUACUAACCCUAUUUUUAAAUUUUCCCUUUUUGUCUCCUUAAUUACCUAGCCUUGUUUCCCAUAUGAAUAGACUCUCCCUUAGCUGGGAAAGCCUGACGAACUCCAUCUGGCCCCUUGAUUUACAAGACAUUAAGGGCUCCUUACCCAACUCCCUUCCUCAAGGAGUUAACCUGUGUAAGCAGAUCCUCAGCAUUUCAAAGGAGCCCAAUUAACUGAUAAGGUACUGGAACAAACAAUGUAUGAAGUUCCCAGGAUUUUGCUCAAAAACAUAACAACAUAAAGCCUUGAGUCUGUGUCCGGCAUAGCAUCCAUAUCUAACUCUUAUGAAGGAUUUAGAGCCCGGCACCUGGUUCCGUUGCUUUUUUUUGUAACCAUUUGUCUUUUAAAUUGUUUAUUUCUCUGUAACCAUUUGUUUUUCGAUUCUUGCAUGUUUUUACUUCUGUAGAUUUAUUGCAUUUGAGCUCCGCUCCCCUUCCGAAACCAAGGUAUAAAAGUAAAUCAAGCCCCUUCCUUGGGGCCGAGAGAAUUUUGGAGCGUCAAGCCCUCUCUUAGCUGCCGGCUUAAAUAAAGGACUCUUAAUUUGUCUCGAA
rnacentral:lncRNA from 1 species